AUUCCAGCUCCAAUAGCGUAUAUUAAAGUUGUUGCAGUUAAAAAGCUCGUAGUUGGUUUUCGGGCGUGUGCGCAUGGUCCGCCGAAAGGUGUGCACUGUGCCUGUGCGCGCUCUCUUUCCGUAGGCCGCGUGUGCCCUUAACUGGGUGUGCGUGGAAUGCGGAUCGUUUACUUUGAAUAAAUUAGAGUGUUCAAAGCAGGCUUUCGCUUGGAUACAUUAGCAUGGAAUAAUGGAAUAGGACUUUGGUUCUAUUUUGUUGGUUUCUAGGACCGGAGUAAUGAUUAAUAGGGAUAGUUGGGGGCAUUAAUAUUUAAUUGUCAGAGGUGAAAUUCUUGGAUUUAUGAAAGAUUAACUUCUGCGAAAGCAUUUGCCAAGGAUGUUUUCAUUA
rnacentral:rRNA from 1 species